rnacentral:lncRNA from 1 species
AUGAUUGAUGGGAAACAGACACCGGAUGAUAGACGCACAUCGUUUUGCUUCCGAUACUGAUAUCUCAGCGGUGCCUGGGCAGCCCUUGUGAACCGUGAGCAUUGAGGAUCACUCAGGGUUAUCGGAUGUACAAUGGGAGAGCCAUCACUUUGCUAAAUUAUUAUCUGCUAUUGGACAUCUUUUACAAAAACCAAACUUGAUAUGUUCUAGGACGACGAAAAUGCUCCAAGUUGCUGUUAAUGCCUAACACACAAGUAUGUUAGGCUUCCACCAAAGUCCUCAAUAUACCUGAACACGCACAGUAUCUUAAUCCUUCACAUCUGAUUUUGGAUUCUGCUUUUGAGGUCUGAUCCUCUUUUUUCUUUUCUUUUCUUUUCUUUCUUUUUAAAAAUAUACAGACCUAUCUACAUAAAGAUAUACAUAUAUAUAUAUAUAUAUAUAUAUAUAUAUAUACACAAAUAUACAUAUAUAUAUAAACAAAUGUAUAUGUAAAAUAGACAAAGAUUACAGAUAAAUCAC